rnacentral:rRNA from 1 species
UACGUAGGGGGCAAGCGUUGUCCGGAUUUAUUGGGCGUAAAGAGCGUGUAGGCGGCCAGGUAGGUCGGUUGUGAAAACUGGAGGCUUAACCUCCAGACGUCGACCGAAACCAUCUGGCUAGAGUCCGGAAGAGGAGAGUGGAAUUCCUGGUGUAGCGGUGAAAUGCGCAGAUAUCAGGAAGAACACCCGUGGCGAAGGCGGCUCUCUGGGACGGUACUGACGCUGAGACGCGAAAGCGUGGGGAGCGAACAGG